UAGAUCAUAAGCUCUGGCAGCUUUUUCUUCCAUGUCAUAACCCCCUGAAAUUUAUAUUUUGGAUUUA
rnacentral:sRNA from 1 species